UGAUCUGUGCAACAAACCACCAUGGCACACGUUUCCCUAUGUAACAACUCUGCACAUCCCGCACAUGUAACCCAGAACUUAAAAAUUAAAGGAGAAAAAAAAAAAAGCUUGGAGACUAGUGUGAAGGACAAACCGCACAGUAAGUUUGGUUUGUGGUGUAGGAAUCUGAAGACCUGGAUCCUAGCCCUGACUCUACUGCCUACCAAAUGUGCAAUCUGGAGAAAGUCAGAUUUUUUUAUGUGGAUUUCAGUUUCUCAAUUUCUAUAUUCAGAAUCAUCAACACAUAGAGGACUGCUGGCGUAUGGAACAUGCUCAGGAAAUAUUUGCUGAGUGGAUUAAUGGCCAAAGGACCACAGACUCAAAGAUGGAAGAACCAGAGACAAUAUAAUUCUUCAUCCUAUUUCACCUGCAAGGAAACGAAAAACUAAUACAGGGUUGAAGCCAACUUAAUCUGGAUGGGGAAUCAAUCUUUCGAUGAUCAUAAUUAGGGUAAUGCUUCUCUUCCUCCUAUACUCUAUCCUUUCUCUUUUCCCUUCUCUCACUCUCUAUGUCCUUUUGUGUCCAGAAUUGGUGGGUUCUUGGUCUCGCUGACUUUCAAGAAUGAAGCCGUGGACCCUUGCGGUCAGUGUUACA
rnacentral:lncRNA from 1 species